rnacentral:misc_RNA from 1 species
GAUGAAGAACGCAGCGAAAUGCGAUAAGUAAUGUGAAUUGCAGAAUUCAGUGAAUCAUCGAAUCUUUGAACGCACAUUGCGCCCGCCAGUAUUCUGGCGGGCAUGCCUGUUCGAGCGUCAUUACAACCCUCAGGCCCCCGGGCCUGGCGUUGGGGAUCGGCGGGGCCCCCCGUGGGCACACGCCGUCCCCCAAAUGCAGUGGCGGUCCCGCCGCAGCUUCCAUCGCGUAGUAGCUAACACCUCGCGACUGGAGAGCGGCGCGGCCACGCCGUAAAACACCCAACUCUUCUGAAGUUGACCUCGAAUCAGGUAGGAAUACCCGCUGAACUUAAGCAUAUCAAUAAGCGGAGGA